rnacentral:lncRNA from 7 species
ACUGACGUGUGGGACCCAGACCCUGCCACCGUUCUUCUUCCCGACCGUGAGAUUCGGCGCGGGUUGUUACGUCGCCCGGUUUUGAGCUGGGGGUCAGUAACGUUGGACCCGCCCAUAAAUUGGGGCUACGAUGACCUCCUCACCCUUUCGUGCGCCACCAUCGCACCAACGCCCGGGUUAGCCACCGAAAUCGUGGGAGGGGCAGUGGGUCGCUAGCAUGGCGGACCACCGACGGUGGAAAUCGGAACCACGACGAGUCUGGGAUUGGGACUCGACUUUGGGUGAUCCUCGCACCUCGUGGAAGGCGUGCGCCCCAUUGAUUCGAGCGAAGUUCACCGGAGCCUGUGUAAUUUCUCACUGUCGAGCCUAAUCCGCCGCAGUUCCGCUCUUCUGCGUGGACUGCCCGCCCACUCGCAUCAUCCUCGAUAAGGUUCCCUUAUCUGUAUUCACUUUCAUUUCCGCAUCGCAUAGAGCUACUUGGAUUAGAGGAUGGGACGCUAGGAUCGUGGACUUUCCUCGCCGGGGUGGUCCUCCGCCGUGGGUGUUGUACGACGCCGCCCUCGGGGAGAUGGGUGGAGGGCGAGUUGGGAGAUGAAUCCUGGGCCAUGGAUUCUGUGUGUAACGGCCAAGAUUAGAUCCGAUCUGUACCGGUUCAAAGAUAGUUCUCAACCAUUGAUCUCGAUGCGGAGGGCUAGGAUCAG